AGUAUGAUUGCUGCGACAUCGGUGGUGAGUUUAGAUUUAACUUUAUAAGAAAUUGACAAAUCAUUUUCCAAAGUGGCUGUACCUCUUGGCAAUCCCACUAGUGAU
rnacentral:pre_miRNA from 1 species